CCUACGGGAGGCAGCAGUGAGGAAUAUUGGUCGAUGGGCGAGAGCCUGAACCAGCCAAGUCGCGUGAGGGAGUACUGCCCUAUGGGUUGUAAACAUCUUUUGUCGGGGAGCAAAAGCCUGACGUGUCCGGCUGUGAGAGUACCCGACGAAAAAGCAUCGGCUAACUCCGUGCCAGCAGCCGCGGUAAUACGGUGGAUGCGAGCGUUAUCCGGAUUUAUUGGGUUUAAAGGGUGCGUAGUCGGAUUUUUAAGUCAGCGGUCAAAUCGUGGGGAGCAACCCGAUCCAGCCGUUGAAACUGGGGAUCUAGAGUGUGCGGGAGGUAUGCGGAAGGCGGGGUGUAGCGGUGAAAUGCAUAGAUAUCACGCAGAA
rnacentral:rRNA from 1 species